rnacentral:rRNA from 1 species
AUGAGAACGAACGGUCUUCCAACAUUAAUAUCCACUGCACCAGGACAUCCUUCCAAUUUCGCAUUCCAUGCCCAACCAAAACUGAAAUCCAAUGCAGCGGAAAAGGCGGUACAUCAAAGACAGUUUGUAUCUGAUUGGACAGCCCCUAUUGUUGGUGAAGUUGCCGAGAAGAGGAACUAUUGCAGGCUGGCCGCAGGUACAGAAGGAGCAAGAAGAGAACAUCUGAAGCUACGUACUACUUGGAUGGCUAAAUUUGUGCUAUACAAGCAAUUAGGUGAUUCAAUUCAGCGAAGGCGUGGUCGUACCUCUGCACAGCAAACUCAAGCACCACUUCUAAUAUUGUUGGAAAGUGGAUAA